UGAAAACUUGCCGAGAAACACCCUAGUGACCCCGUUGUUGGCACGCCGAGUAACGCCCAUCCCCUUUUCAUCCUCAUCCUUCUGUUAUUUAUCCUUCUCUAUCCUACUCAGCACAACGCCUUCACCGACCCUCUCGAGGCCGUUGCGCAUUAAGGCCGAAUUUACAAAGGGAUUCCAGACGAAAGAGAAACGUUUUACAAAUUCGCGAUAAGAAAAAAGGAAAGUAAAGGAAAGGUAAGGAAAGAAAGAAAGAAAAAAAGUAGGAAGGAAUGGAGAUAAAUGGAGAGCAUCUUAUCGAUGCUCAACAACAAAGUUAUAUUAUCGUUGACGCUAGAACGGAGAAAGUGCAUCUAACAGCAAUUUGUCAAAGACUUUGUAUCCGCAAAAAAGGGAAGGAGGACUUCUCAUUAGAGAGACUCUUGACGUAAGCGUCUCGAUGUCCAGAUACUUGUUUCAAAGGACGAGACCAGACGAGACGAGAAAUGCUUCAAGAGCAAGUGAAGAGAAA
rnacentral:lncRNA from 1 species